rnacentral:rRNA from 1 species
UACGGAGGGUGCGAGCGUUAAUCGGAAUUACUGGGCGUAAAGAGUGCGUAGGUGGUUAAUUAAGUUAUCUGUGAAAUCCCUGGGCUCAACCUGGGCAGGUCAGAUAAUACUGAUUAACUCGAGUAUAGGAGAGGGUAGUGGAAUUUCCGGUGUAGCGGUGAAAUGCGUAGAGAUCGGAAGGAACACCAGUGGCGAAGGCGGCUACCUGGCCUAAUACUGACACUGAGGCACGAAAGCGUGGGGAGCAAACAGG